rnacentral:rRNA from 1 species
AGAGUUUGAUCCUGGCUCAGGAUGAACGCUAGCGGUGUGCCUGAGAUAUGCAAGUCGAGCGACGUGUCUUUGUAGCUUGCUACAAAGAUAACGAGCGGCGUCCGGCUGAGUAACGCGUAGGAAUCUGCCCCCGACUGGGGAAUAGCCAACCGAAAGGUUGGGUAAUACCCCAUAGUCUCUUUCUUUAUUGAGAGAGUAAAGGCCUUUACCGGCCGGUCAGGGAUGAGCCUGCGUCCUAUCAGGUAGUUGGUGAGGUAACGGCUCACCAAGCCAAUGACGGGUAGCUGGUCUCAUGAGGACGACCAGCCAGAGGGGGACUGAGACACGGCCCCCACUCCUACGGGAGGCAGCAAUUAGGAAUAGUCGGCAAUGGAGGAAACUCUGACCGCGCGACACCGCGUGUAGGAUGAAGUUCUAACGAGCGUAAACUACUGUUGUAUGGGAAAAAGGCGCAAGCUUGAUGGUACCAUACUAGAAAGGGGCCGCUAACUGCGUGCCAGAAGCGUCGGUAAGACGUGGGCCCCAAGCGUUAUCCGGUGUAACUGGGCAUAAAGAGUCGCGUAGGCGGCUCGGAAAGUUACCUUUUAAAUUUCACGGCUCAACCGUGAAACUGGGGGUAAGACUCCCGAGCUAGAAUUUUCUUUAAGGGUAAAUGGAACUUUGGGAGGAGUAGUGAAAUGCGUUGAUCCCCAAGGGAACACCAGUGGCGAAGGCGAUUUACUGUGAGAAAAUUGACGCUGAGGCACGAAAGCUAGGGGAGCGAAUCAGAUUAGAGACCUGAGUAGUCCUAGCCGUAAACGCAUGCCUGCUAGCUGCAUUUCCGUCCCGAUUUAUUUUGGGAUUAGGUGUGGCGAAGAUAAGUCGUUAAGCAGGCCGCCUGGGGAGUACGACCGCAAGGUUAAAACUCAAAGGAAUUGGCGGGGAGGCACACAACCAGAGGAACAUGUGGUUCAAUUCGAAACGAACCGAACACCUCACCAGGGUUUGACAUGUAGCUGCAAGUCCUAUGAAAGUAGGAUGUCUUCGAGAGUGCUACACAGGUGCUGCAUGGCUGUCGUCAGUUCGUUCCGUGAGGAGUGCCCUUAAGUGGGACAACGAACGCAACCCCCAUCUUGUGUUACAAGUGUCACAAGAAACUGCCCUCGAGUUCUCGAGGGAGGAAGGAGGGGCAGAUGUCAAGUCAGCAUGGUCCUUAUACCCUGGGCUACACACAUGUUACAAUGAGAAUUAACAACGAGCUUAGCGAACCUGCGAAGGUAAGCCAAUCUCUAAAACAUUCUCUCAGUGGGGAUCGUAGUCUGCAAUUCGACUACGUGAACGCGGAUUUGGUAGUAAUCGCGAAGCAGCUUGUCGCGGUGAAUACGUUCUUGCCUCUUGCACACACCGCCCGUCAAGCCAACAAAGUCGCCUUUAAUUGAACUCCGACGUUCGUCGGAGGAGGUUAGUGGUGGCGAUGAGGGUUAAGUCGUAACAAGGUAUCCGUUCUGGAAGGAGCGGAUG